rnacentral:SRP_RNA from 1 species
CCGCGCUAAGCGGGGGGGUGCCGGUCCCCUGUACCCGAAACCCGGCAUAUGCGGGGCUGAAUUCCCGUUUUGAGGUUCACCUGCUGUGGAGGUAGGGCUGUGAUGGUGGCGAUGAUGUUCGGGUCCUGCGCAAGGGACGCCUCCUGAACCCCGCCAGGCCCGGAAGGGAGCAACGGUAGGGAGGUAAGUUCCUGUGCCGCAGGGUCGCCCGAACGGAGUCACCUGACCAGCGCUCCCCACGGUAAGGGAACCGAGAAACGGGUGCGCGG